rnacentral:rRNA from 1 species
AUUGAACGCUGGCGGCAUGCCUAACACAUGCAAGUCGAACGAAUGGCGAACGUAUGAGUAAUGUCUGGGAAACUGCCUGAUGAAGGGGGAUAACUACUGGAAACGGUAGCUAAUACCGCAUACCAUCAGCUGUGCCCAGUUGUGAUUAGCUUGUUGGUGGGGUAACGGCUCACCAAGGCGACGAUCCCUAGCUGGUUUGAGAGGAUGACCGGCCACAUUGGAACUGAGACACGGUCCAAACUCCUACGUGAGGCAGCAGUGGGGAAUAUUGCACAAUGGGCGCAAGCCUGAUGCAGCCAUGCCGCGUGUAUGAAGAAGGCCUUCGGGUUGUAAAGUACUUUCAGCGGGGAGGCGUUACUCGCAGAAGAAGCACCGGCUAACUCCGUGCCAGCAGCCGCGGUAAUUC